AUGUCUUCAGAUGUUUUGGCAGAUGUUUCAAUAACUGAAUCAGGAGGAGGAGUGAAGAGACCUGGAGAUUCUCUUCAACUUACCUGCACAAGCUCUGGCUUCAAUAUCGAUAACUACUGGAUGGUUUGGGUCCACCAGGCAGAUGGAAAAGGGCUCGAGUGGAUUGCAGAGAUAAAUAAAGGCACCACGUAUUAUGCCAAUUCUUUCAAAGGGCGAGUCACCAUCUCCAAAGAUAGUUCCAGGAACCAAGUUUAUCUAGACAUGAACGGACUGAAAGCCGAAGACACAGCCAAGUACUACUGCACUAAGGAACACAAUGUUCUGGCAGAUAUUUCAAUAACUGAAUCAGGAGGAGGAGUGAAGAGUCCUGGAAAUUCACUUCGACUUACUUGCACAAGCUCUGGCUUCAAUAUCGACAGCCACUAUAUGGAAUGGGUCCGCCAGGCAGAUGGAAAAGGGCUGGAGUGGAUUGCGCGGAUACAUCAACACAACACGUUUUAUGCCAAUUCUUUCAAAGGUCGAGUCACCAUCUCCAAAGAUAGUUCCAGGAGCCAAGUUUAUCUAGACAUGAACGGACUGAAAGCUGAAGACACAGCCAAAUAUUACUGCAGCAGGGAACACAGUGGAGAAAAAUGA